GACGAACGCUGGCGGCGUGCCUAACACAUGCAAGUCGAACGGGGUAAUUUCUUCGGAGAUUACUUAGUGGCGAGCGGGUGAGUAACGCGUGAGAAACCUGCCUUUCAGUGGGGGACAACAGUUGGAAACGACUGCUAAUACCGCAUAAUGUUAUUUGGGGGCAUCCCUGAAUAACCAAAGCUUUAUGUGCUGAAAGAUGGUCUCGCGUCUGAUUAGCUAGAUGGCGGGGGAACGGCCCACCAUGGCGACGAUCAGUAGCCGGUCUGAGAGGCUGAACGGCCACAUUGGGACUGAGAUACGGCCCCAACUCCUACGGGAGGCAGCAGUGGGGAAUAUUCUUCCCUGGGGGAAACCCUGACCCAGCAACGCCGCGUGCACUCAUAAGGCCUUCGGGUUGUCCCCUUCUUUUACCCGGGACGAAGAACGUGACGGUACCUGGAGACCACGUAACGGCUAACUACGUGCCAGCCGCCGCGGUAA
rnacentral:rRNA from 1 species